GAUGAACGCUGGCGGCGUGCCUAAUACAUGCAAGUCGAGCGAAUGGAUUAAGAGCUUGCUCUUAUGAAGUUAGCGGCGGACGGGUGAGUAACACGUGGGUAACCUGCCCAUAAGACUGGGAUAACUCCGGGAAACCGGGGCUAAUACCGGAUAACAUUUUGAACCGCAUGGUUCGAAAUUGAAAGGCGGCUUCGGCUGUCACUUAUGGAUGGACACGCGUCGCAUUAGCUAGUUGGUGAGGUAACGGCUCACCAAGGCAACGAUGCGUAGCCGAGCGGCGUGGGUGAUAGGCCGCACGUGGGCUGCGACACGGCCCUGACUGCUACGGGUGUCAGCAGUAGGGGAUUUGCCGAAAUUGGCGAAAGUCUGACGAGUCAACGCUGCGUUGUUGAUGACGGCUUUCGGGUCGUAAAACUCUUUUUUUAGGGAAGAACAAGUGCUAGUUGAAUAAGCUGGCACCUUGACGGUACCUAACCAGAAAGCCACGGCUAACUACGUGCCAGCCGCCGCGGUAA
rnacentral:rRNA from 1 species